CCUACGGGAGGCUGCAGUGGGGAAUAUUGCGCAAUGGGCGAAAGCCUGACGCAGCGACGCCGCGUGAGGGAUGAAGGUCUUCGGAUCGUAAACCUCUGUCAGCAGGGAAGAACGGUCACUGUGCUAAUCAGCAGUGAAUUGACGGUACCUGCAAAGGAAGCACCGGCUAACUCCGGGCCAGCAGCCGCGGUAAUACGGAGGGUGCGAGCGUUAAUCGGAAUUACUGGGCGUAAAGCGCUCGUAGGCGGUAUGUCAAGUCAAGGGGGAAAUCCCCGCGCGCAACGUGGGAACUGCCUUUGAAACUGGCAAACUGGAGUGUGUGAGAGGAGAGUGGAAUUCCAGGUGUAGGAGUGAAAUCCGUAGAUAUCUGGAGGAACAUCAGUGGCGAAGGCGACUAUCUGGCACAUAACUGACGCUGAGGAGCGAAAGCGUGGGUAGCAAACAGGAUUAGAUACCCCAGUAGUC
rnacentral:rRNA from 1 species